rnacentral:ncRNA from 1 species
GCUUCUUAGAGGGACUAUCGCCGUUUAGGCGACGGAAGUUUGAGGCAAUAACAGGUCUGUGAUGCCCUUAGAUGUUCUGGGCCGCAAGCGCGCUACACUGAUGUAUUCAACGAGUAUAUAGCCUUGGCCGACAGGCCCGGGUAAUCUUGGGAAAUUUCAUCGUGAUGGGGAUAGAUCAUUGCAAUUGUUGGUCUUCAACGAGGAAUGCCUAGUAAGCGCGAGUCA